GGACGAAUAGCCCAGCACCGAAGCCUGUGGACAUUAGGUUACUAGGCAAUGUGGUGUUUAGGUCGUCCCUUGGAGAUGUUGCCUCACCCCAAGUCCAGCAAUGAGUAUGGUUAUUCUGACUUGGCCCAGAGAGGGUGAAAGGCCCGUGGGGGUGAGGUUCAUGCAUGAUAAUGUCUCCCUGGGUAGACCUUGGAGUCGGGUUGUUUGUGAUUGCAGCCCAAAGUGGGUGGUAAACUCCAUCCAAGGCUAAAUACUUGCACGAGUCCGAUAGCGAACAAGUACCGUGAGGGAAAGUUGAAAAGUACUUUGAAGAGAGAGUAAACAGUGCGUGAAACCGCUCAGAGGUAAACGGGUGGAGUUGAACUGCAAACUUUGAGAAUUCAGCUGGUGAAAGUGGUUUGUGCUUGGACAAAGCGAUUGGUCAUGCGGGUCUGCUCAGUUGCAGGUCUCUACCUUCGGGUAGGGAUGCGCGAGGCACUUGUCAAGUGUUGCGCGCUCGCAAGAUGACUCGGAUCAAUUCGCCAGUGCACUUUCUCAUUGUGUUCACCACGACCGGCGCUGCUGUCUGUCUGACAUGGUCAAACCGGUUUUGCAUUGUCCUUGUGGCUUUGCUUGAUCGGGAUGGCAGGUGACUCGUUGGCUUGUGUGUUGGCUUCGGCUUGCAUGCGCUUGGCUUUCGAGCGUAAUCAGCUGGCUAUGUUGGUACUGUGCAGUGCGUCGGAGACGGCGGCUUGUUGUGUAUGCAUUCGUGCUUACAUGCUGACGGUUCCGGGUUUGGUUGUCUGUUGCCUGUUUUGGCAGGCCUGAUAAUGGCUCGGUUCUGCUUAGUAUGUGGUUGCGUUUGUUUCACAUAUAAGGGCCAAUAGUCUGUGGUGUAGUGUAGACAGCACCAUCCACCGUCUG
rnacentral:rRNA from 1 species